GCGCCCUUGAUGUAGCGGUAACAUACAAUCUGUUCAUGAUUGAAAGCAUGCACAUUUAAGAUUGGGUCCGGGGUUCGACUCCCCGAGAGUGCA